rnacentral:misc_RNA from 1 species
CCGAGUGAGGGCCUCCGCGCCCAACCUCCCAACCCUUUGUCGAUGAAUAUCUGUUGCCUCGGGGGGCGACCCGGACCUCGCGCCGGGAGUCCCCCAGAGGUCCAUCAAACACUGCGUCUUUGCGUCGGAGUAUUGAAAUCAAUCAAUUA